rnacentral:rRNA from 1 species
UGGGGAAUUUUGGACAAUGGGCGCAAGCCUGAUCCAGCCAUGCCGCGUGCGGGAAGAAGGCCUUCGGGUUGUAAACCGCUUUUGUCAGGGAAGAAAUCCUUUGAGCUAAUACCUCGGGGGAUGACGGUACCUGAAGAAUAAGCACCGGCUAACUACGUGCCAGCAGCCGCGGUAAUACGUAGGGUGCAAGCGUUAGUCGGAAUUACUGGGCGUAAAGCGUGCGCAGGCGGUUAUGCAAGACAGAUGUGAAAUCCCCGGGCUCAACCUGGGAACUGCAUUUGUGACUGCAUAGCUGGAGUGCGGCAGAGGGGGAUGGAAUUCCGCGUGUAGCAGUGAAAUGCGUAGAUAUGCGGAGGAACACCGAUGGCGAAGGCGGCGAUCUGGGUCGAUACUGACGCUGAGGUGCGAAAGCGUGGGGAGCAAACA